rnacentral:rRNA from 1 species
ACUACGGGUGGCAGCAGUGGGGAAUAUUGGACAAUGGGGGGAACCCUGAUCCAGCCAUGCCGCGUGUGUGAAGAAGGCCCUCGGGUUGUAAAGCACUUUCAGUGAGGAAGAACGCCUGGUGGUUAAUACCCAUCAGGAAAGACAUCACUCACAGAAGAAGCACCGGCUAACUCCGUGCCAGCAGCCGCGGUAAUACGGAGGGUGCGAGCGUUAAUCGGAAUUACUGGGCGUAAAGCGCGCGUAGGUGGCUUGAUAAGCCGGUUGUGAAAGCCCCGGGCUCAACCUGGGAACGGCAUCCGGAACUGUCAAGCUAGAGUGCAGGAGAGGAAGGUAGAAUUCCCGGUGUAGCGGUGAAAUGCGUAGAGAUCGGGAGGAAUACCUGUGGCGAAGGCGGCCUUCUGGACUGACACUGACACUGAGGUGCGAAAGCGUGGGUAGCAAACAGGAUUAGAUACCCUAGUAGUC